rnacentral:lncRNA from 1 species
AUUAGCUAACCAAUUAAACCCAUAACCAUCAAAACAUUCCUUUAUGUUUAAAUUAGCCAAUUAAUCAUAAUAAAUUGGCUAAUUAAACCUAAACUAAACCCAAAAACCGUAGUGAUGGCCGGCCACAUCCUAUCCCUAUAAAAGUGAUCCCAUUCUCACCAAAAAGCCAUUCCAACACUUUGGCGAAAAUCCCAAAAUUCUCUAAACACUAUUUCUCUCUAAAUUCUAACUUUGGCAUCGGAGGUUCUUCGGCCAAAGCCCCUCCCAUUCAUCGUGGGCGCGUGAGGCUCUUGGCCUUAACCUAAGGUGUUAAUUGUUUUGUAGGUGCAAAAUUGUCCAAGAUCAAGGAGGAAGAAAUUUGCAUCCACAAAUUGGUGUUUUCAUUGAGAGUUGAGAUCCAUACUCGUAGAAGACUCUCGCAUAAAAGGUUUUUUCUCUAUUUUCUAGUCCAUUUGAAUAUUUUUCAUACGUUCUUAUUGUUAGAAUUUUUUAUUUGCAAAGGUUCUUUGAUAAAACGUGUAAGAAAAAUAUAAUGGCUAGAAAUUUAGAAAAUUCCACAAGUGAAAAUUCUAAUACUCAAGAAAUGGGACCACGAGGAUCCAGGACGCUAAAUGUGGUCAUAUGCGGAGUGGUACCACCACUACGAGGUUCCACCAUGGCCCAAGCCGUGCCAUCCAAGCUUGCACGGGUCCGAGCCCAAGCCUCGCAUUCGUAUGCAUCACGCUCUGAGCAGCCCACUUUUGUGGCCCAACCUGCUUUCAUGGCCUAACCUGCUCUCGCAGCCCAGCCUACUCCCAUCGAGAAGCCUGCUUUCGUGGCCCAGCCUGCUCCCGACGAGCAGCCCACUCUCAUGGUUCAGCCUGCUCGCGCCGAGCAGCCAAUUCUCGCGGCCUAGCCUGUUCUCAUGGCCCAGCCUGCUCUCGUGGCUUUCCAAGCAGCCCAAGUCGGCCCAAGACUAUCUCAACCAUCCGAACCUACCAUCGAGCCGGGGGAAUUCUCACCACAUUUUUUCUUAGAUUUGACAUUUUCAAACUCAAAUCUCGCGCCCGGAGUCUACCGCCAUUCCACUGUCCAAGGAGGCACAUUCAUUCCAAGCUCUUCCAAUCCAAAUGGCGAACAACACUUGUCUCGAAAAGUCAUAGAGUUGACGAGCGCCCUUACACAGCAGAUAACCUUGGUGAAUCAACUUUUGCAACGCACCGGGAUCCAACGUGCCCCGGACGAGGUAUCCCGAAGUAGGACAAGGGCAGACGAACCUUUCUAGCAAUGUCCCGGCUAGUAACCACUAAACCAACCAUGAGCCGAGCGUUCAGGCAAUGUACCUUCCCGAUUGGGCCCCCGAGAUAACAUAUACUCCUGUCUUAGCACACAGAGGAGCGUGCACUCUCGACUAGGCACAUGGAUGAGCAUGCAUUAACGGUUGGGGUUAUACUCCGAUAGUCAACAUGAGCAACCUUCCGGGCAAAGUGUUCAUUCACGGCUAAGCCAGCAAGGAGCACCAUCCACCUCAUAUCGGAGUAGGUAGCACGACGAUCGAAGAGAAGCAGUCACUCAAUCCAGCUCAAGUUCAACUAGCAACCUGCGAAGAACUCGCUCGCCUGCUAGGAACACACCACAUGCACUGCAUCUGCGGCAUAGAUGAGCCAAACACAUGGAAGAGUAGCUUAGACCAGCAAGUCAUGGCUAGGGGCAGCCGAGAGUUCCGCUACCCCCAACAAAGGCAAAUUCAGGAAGAAGUAGAGAGACUUUUGACCAAGCGAUUGCACGAUUUCCAACGUAAUGAGGUCACUGACGAGGCAUUACGACGGAACAUGACCAACAUAAGUAGGUCACCAUUCACAGAUGAGAUCGAGCAGGCAGAGCCUCCACGUGAGUUCAGCAUACCACAUUUCACAUAUUUCAAAUGGGAUGAAGACCCGAAGAGACACUUAAUGCACUAUCGAAGCGUAAUGAUCCUUUAUUGAAACAACGAUGACCUCAUGUGCAAGAUAUUCGCCACCACUCUACAAGGCGAGGCGCAAGAUUGGUUUUACACCCUGCCGCCACAAUCCAUCCGGAAUUUCUACGAACUUUCUUUGGUUUUCACCAAAGAAUAUUCAUCUUAUCGCUCGAUCAAAAAGAAGUCCGACCAUUUGUUUGACAUUAAGAAGAACCCAAAUGAGUCACUUCGUGACUAUGUGAGGAGAUUCAAAGCAAAGAAGGCAAGGGUAGUCAAAGGCAACGACUCGAUAACUAAAGCAACCUUCCAAAAAGGCCUUCCAGCAAACCACCCGCUAUUCAAAAAAUUAAUCAUGAAAGAAUAUCUAACUCUGGCUGACUCUUUGGCUUUGGCAGAGAAGCAUGCACUUUGGGAUGAGGCUCGCCAAUGCACAUUCAAGGACUUGAAGUAGUACCCAACAUCACCUUCCUAGAAGUAGCGGAGGACUUAUUUGCAUGUUUGACAGUAUUUAAAGUAUCAAUAAGCUCUACCAUCAUGCGAGAAGAACUGAGGGCCCAACUACCUGUAUUUUACAGUUCAAAAACUUUCCUCGAUGUUAUUAAAAAUUCAAAAGCUAACUUUGGCGAUAGUUGUUGUAACCCAAAAUCUUAAGUUUUACCUUCAAACGUACGCAUUCAUCAUCAUGACGUACUAUUCUGUCGAAUCCAAACCCACGACGAUAAAGGCGUAGACCAUGGCAGAUGCAAAGUUUUUUUACGAACGCAACAACUCGGCCCAAAAGACACGCUAAGGGUAGACGAACACACUUAGAAGCAAGUUUUAUCCUUGUCGCCCUAGAAGAUUCUACGUAAGAGCAAUAUGUACUGGCAGUCAAGCACUACCUCCUGCUGCACGUCACACAGCCCUAGCCGACCCUUGCUUCAUUAUUCAACUCUAGAAUGGCCUAAUAACGAAAGUUGAACAUCUUCUACUACAUGUAACAUGGCCCCAGCUCCACGGCUCCCUACCACGCCUUCAAGCCUAGCUUUGACAACACAACAGAGCGGCCCAACGACGCCCCGAAGGUAACCGAAAGAAGAUGGCCACAAGCUUAAAUCUGGCAGAGGAGAAGUGCGAGCAGAUUAUCACCCGCAUCGCAACUUACCAGCAGCAGCUCCUCUCCAGCUACAACAAAAUGGCUAAGAUCAGGUAGUUCUAGCCUGAAAAUCUAGUCUUAAGAAAAGCCUUCAUCACUGCCCGAGGAGAAGGAUCCAAAAAGAUGAAUCCCAUAUGGGAAGGUUCGUACAAGAUCAACAGAGUAGGCAACAAGAGUAAUUACACCCUCGCCACCAUGAAACGAUACAAAGAUAAAAAAACAGUAGAACGCCUACAAUAUGAUGAAGUACCAUGUGUGAUCUCUUGCUACAUCAAAGCCUGAAAACUCAAGCAGCUCGACGGGCACUACCUCACAAGCCGAUGACUAUCUAGUUGUUAUGCAGUUCCUACCUUACAGCUCAGUUCUCGUUCGUUUUACUCAUUUUUCAAUGAGGAAUUCAGAAGUAAUCACAACUUGGUUCAAUUGUAUGCUUACAACAACUGAUCAAUCCUGCACUUCAAAAAAAGACUGCGCCAUUCUUAGGGAAUCAUCGCAGGAAUUGCGCCCCCCAAGGGACCAACCAUGCUCUCUAGUGCGAGAGGGUAAACUAAUUGCUCUUCAGUGCGAGAGGGUAAACCAAUUCCCCGACACCCACAUGGGUCAGCUCUCUAAGACGGGAGGAUAAACUUUACACUCCGAAUAUCUAGACGUGGAUGAGUCUGGUUGCCCUAUUAUAACUAGAUGCACGAUGGCUUGCGCCGAGAUUCCUAGAAGUAGCCACAAUGGUCUUUUUCAAGGCUUAGCUAACUGAAGGAUUUUGGGUCUCUUGGCCUAAUCUGUAGAGAACCGGGCCCUAGAGACGGAGGGGGCACAUUACGCAGUACGCCCUACAAACGGUUACCCUGGAACCCUAAAGCUUGCUACGCAACCUACGGAAUUGGAGAAAGCCAAGGUUAACAGCCUAGUGGUUACGCGGACUUGUUUGCUUCUGUAAGUAAGGCAUCCAGUUGCCAACCCUAUGGCUAACAACUUUGCAAAGUUCCACACCAACACCUACGGCUACAUAGGUUACGCGAGCUUGUCUACUUAUAAAAAAAGUAGCAUGCUUGCCACUGGUCUAUCAAGUCUAAAGGUUAGGGCAUGAACAAAAGAAGCGAAGAUGAAGAAAAGCGAAGGAAAACAUGUUUAUAAACAAUUAGCAAAGACCGAAGGAAUUCAAGCAAAACAAGAGCUAAAGAAAAAAUAAAUAAAAUCCUAAAGACUACCUAGAAGACUACGGCAGCUUAAACAUCCCACAACUACUCGGUCGCCAUACCUUCAGCAGCCAUAACGCUCUUAGCAGCGGCAUCAUCUGACGCUUCACCCCCGGUUGCCCCAGCCUGGGCACCAACUUCUUCAACUACUUCACCAUUAAAAGCCUCAAAAGUAAAAGCAAGCAAGUCUUCAGAAGAAAUAUAGAAGGUCUCGAAACCUCAAGCCCAUCAUUCUCACCCUUCAGCUGCUCAUUAUUCUCAAGCAGACUAACACGGAUGCGCUGCAGCUCAUCCACUUUUUUUUUUUCAAACUUUCAUUAAUCUUCAGUACAUCUUGAAGUUCCAACACUUGGGGUUCAAGUCUAUCGACGAUUCUCUUGAAGUGGAUCACUUGAUUAUAAGCAGCAAUCAACUCUUCAUCAUUUGCAUAAGCAGUGAAACGAGCUCAUAAUCCAACUUCUUAAUCUUCUUAGCCGAGGAAUAAGCCUCGGCUACCAUAGUCUUCGCCACCUCCUUGGCAGCCUUGCUACAUCUACAUCAUAGCAAGCAGAGUAGUCAUUAUAUAUUGGGUCAUAUGUUUUGCAAAGAAACUUGGGCAAACAACCUUUCUAACACCAUUAACAAAUUUGGAACAAGCAUCCAUGUCUUCAAGCAUAUCUGCUCUUAAAAGCAAAUGGGUCUCAGCAGCUUCCCCAAAAGCAGGCUUAGUAGAUUUCUCACAGCUGCCCACUCGAGUAGUCUCCUCUUUCCCAGCAGGUGAGUCAGACUUUGUAACAGAUAGAGUACGCCUUAGCGCCACUUUAGCAACAGAGUCUACCUUAUCACUUUUCAUAAUAGCAAGCAUCUCCAAAGGUGAACCAGACUUAGCUCCUAACAGACGUCUUGGUACAGACUUCGGCACUGGGGGCACGACAUGACCUCUAUGCUGAGCAACCCUAUCAGUAAUCGUACUAGCCAUUCUCGAUGGCAGGUGCCACAUGCUCAGUUCUAGCAGCCUCAUUUUUCUUCCCAUCAGAAGAAAUCAUACCAAUCACAUACCUCUCGACAGUAGGCAGACCCUCACAAGCAGUGGAAAAGUCUUCAGUUUUCUCUUAACCAGCAUCUCUUGAGCAGGCGGGGAAGAUCUCUUCUUUCCCCCUUCAUUCAUAGUAAGCUUUACGACAUCGAUCAGACGAGCCAAUGCAUCUGCCUUGAUCAUUUUUACCUCCUCUUUGGGAGCAGUCCACCUUACUUCCGGCAAAGAGAACUAAGUAGCCAACGCUAUUCACGGUACUCAGCAUAGGAGAUCAACCCAGCAUUUUAGUAGGCAGAAGGUCUGCAUGCCCAACAUUCCAGCAACCCAUGAGGCCCACGACAUUCUCAUUUCUUUCAGUCACCAACCUGGCCCGAGUAAGGUCAAAGAGCCCAAAUGACAUGAGCCAUGUGGCUCCCCUAGCACUGCGCCCUAGCAUCACAAUUCGCAACCCUAGCCCCAUAAGCUGCCCUUGGCUCUAGCCAAACCGAUCAGCUUAAAGUCGUCGUCUCUGCCACAACACCUCAUCGGCCCAUGCCGAGCCGACCCCUGGCUCUUGCCAGCCGACGUGCCACACCACCCCGACAGUUGCCCCAUAACAGCACUAUCCAAGAAGAAGACAAGAAAAAUUAAAUUUUUCUUACAUCAUUGCGGCACGGAAAAGACGAAGAAAGCAACGAAAGAUGGUCAUUUGCACGGGCAAGAUGUAGAAGAUUACUAGAGGAGGGGGAAAAAUAUCAUAUAUGUUCUCUCUCUCUUGUAGGGUAGAAUACAUUGCUCUUCAAAGUUGAUUUAAUAACCCACUUAAGGUGGACUUAAAUAGGCUUUGAGAGAAAUUUAUUUUCCCUUUCCUAGAAUGACCUAAUUUCCUAUUAAAGAGAGAAUCUAUAUCAAAAUAGGAAGCAGUCCUACGUUUCCUAAAGCAAGAUGAUCUCUACACCUGCUGCCCUUUUCUGCGAGCAGCCCAACAGGUGUGGGAGCAUUUGUGGAGCCAAAAAUAUUCGCAAGGCGACACGUGGAUUUUUAGGUAAAAGAAGACAAAAAUACCCUUGAGGCAUACCGAGAUUCCUACGCGCGAGCGGCGAACAAUCAUCCUCAACCAAGUAAAAAAUGCUCCAAAAAAGGUAACAAAUUCCAAUUUAUCUCAUCUAUCCUCAUUAUAGGUAAUUACUUCAUAACCUAUAAAUUAUCCCAUAAAAAUAUAGAUUAAUUGGCUAAUUAAUUCAUUAAUCACCAAAUUAAUCACCCAUUAUACCCCAAUAAAUCACCCCAAAUCACACCAAGGGCCGGCCAUUCCCAUCCAAAAAGAGCCUAUCAUAUUCUCUACCUUUUCCACCAUUUUUCCUUUUUUUUUAACACUAAUUAGCUAGCCAAUUAAACCCAUAACCAUCAAAACAUUCAUUUAUGUUUAAAUUAGCCAAUUAAUCAUAAUAAAUUGGCUAAUUAAACCUAAACUAAACCCAAAAACUGUAGUGAUGGCCGGCCACAUCCUAUCCCUAUAAAAGUGAUCCCAUUCUCACCAAAAAGCCAUUCCAACACUUUGGCAAAAAUAUCAAAAUUCUCUAAACACUCUUUCUCUCUAAAUUCUAACUUUGGCAUCGGAGGUUCUUCGGCCAAAGUCCCCCCCCCCAAUUCAUCUUGGGCGCAUAAGGCUAUUGGCCUUAACCUAAGGUGUUACUUGUUUUGUAGGUGCAAAAUUGUCCAAAAUCAAGGAUGAAGAAAUUUGCAUCCACAAUUCCUAACUUAUUUGUAUUUAGGAUUUACACAAUUACACAAUAUUAAAUAUUAAUUACAACACUCUCUUUGAGUGUGUAAAUACUUAGUAGACACAUCAGAUUUUCAGGCAAAUAUGUAAGUUGUACGAAACUUUAGGUUUGUACUUAGUUACUAAUUGUAACGCCAAAACAGGAUUGGUGGUAAUAAGCCUUAGGCGGACCAACAUGCAUGCAUUAUUACAUAGCCCUAUGGAAAAAAAACUGGAAGCUUGGUGCACUGACUAUCAAGGUUUGUAUGAUCAUUUAAAGACGUUUAAUGAACGUUUUCAGCGAGACCAUUUGGGUGUGAACGUAGGAAUCAAAAUUUUCAACUUUUGUACCCAAGGGAAAAUGCAAUAGUUAUCGAAUUCGUCAAUAUAAACGUUUUAGCAUUAUCUAGUUUUCUGGACUCCAUGGAUAAUUGGGGUGGUGAGCCCACAACCUAAUAAUUGGUAUCAAGAGUCUAACAAGCAGCGUUGGGUGUGGACAAACAUGUGACCAAUGUGCUGAUACGUCAACCAAAACCAUAAAUUAAUUAAAUGGUCAAUAUUUUCGUUGGAUCAGCCAACAAAUAUUCUUUUGAAUCCGAUGUUGAAAGGAUGGAUGAUCUGUAAGGAUCGUUGUAGUACAUAGGCUAGUAAUUAGCUUACCUAGUAAGAAUCUUAGUUGCUGGGUUAGCAAUGAGCUUGCCCAAAAAUGAUUGAUGAUCAUGCUUGGCAAAGUACGCUUUUAGAUAUGAGGUCUUUACUAUUGGUAAGAGGACGCCCUGUAUAGUGCAUCGUUGAUCAACCUGGAUGUCCCAAGCAUUCGUGCCACAACAAAUAUUCCUUUAGAAUCCCAGACUUAUGGAUGACCACAUAGUGGACCUCUACGAUGAAUGGUUGUGAUGUACAAUGUAUAUGGGAGGCAUUCCAUCUUUUCUAGAAUACACUUCUUAUAUUCGUAGAAAGUUAUGCAAAAGAAUUAUACUCCAUUUUCUACUAUAGUUCCAGUCAUGAUCAUUAUUUUCUUGAAUAUCCUUAAAACUCAACAACGUUUUUUUUUAAUGGUGAGAAUAUAAGGCAUGUUUAUGGUAAUUCAGUACCAACCAUACAACAAUGAGCAAUUCCAAAACCCUUAAUCAGGUUGGAUAAACCUGAAUACAUCGUUAGAUGGGUGAUUUAGGUACGGAGUUAGUGAGCUUAGUAGCACAUUCAUAUAGACAACUAACUUCCCUACAUUUAUACCUAAUCACAUAUUUAGAUGAAUUCGGUCAUAUGUAUACAAGAAACACGAUUCAAUUAACUUACAUUUGAGGACAAUAUCCAUAACGUUAUCCAAACCUAAAACAAAAACCAAACUUGAAUUUGGGAACAUAGGAAUUGUUCACAAAGUAAACCAACCUUCCAUGUCAAAAUUAUCAUCCUCCA